rnacentral:rRNA from 1 species
GACGAACGCUGGCGGCGUGCCUAAUACAUGCAAGUCGAGCGAAGUGGCGGAUGGGUGAGUAACGCGUGGGUAACCUGCCCUUAAGUGUGGGAUACCAUCUGGAAACAGAUGCUAAUACAGGAUACUAAAGGAUGGACCUGCGAUGCAUUAGCUAGUUGGUAAGGUAACGGCUUACCAAGGCGAUGAUGCAUAGCCGAUUUGAGAGACUGAGCGGCCACAUUGGAACUGAGACACGUCGCCAACUGCUACGGAAGGGAGUAGGAGGGAAUGUCCCAGAAUGGGGGAAAGUCUGAGCGGGCAACGUCGGGUGAGUGAAGAAGGUUUUCGGAUCGGAAAGCUUUGUUAUUGGGGAAGCGGUAUUCAACCAGAAAGACACGGCUAACUACGUGCCAGCAGCCGCGGUAAUUC